rnacentral:rRNA from 1 species
UGCGUAGGUGGUUCGUUGUGUCUGUUGUGAAAGCCCCGGGCUUAACCUGGGAAUGGCCAUGGAAACUGGCGAGCUGGAGUGUGGCAGAGGGGGGUGGGAAUUCCGCGUGUAGCAGUGAAAUGCGUAGAGAUGCGGAGGAACACCGAUGGCGAAGGCAGCCCCCUGGGCUAACACUGACGCUGAGGCACGAAAGCGUGGGGGAGCAAACA